rnacentral:rRNA from 1 species
GACGAACGCUGGCGGCGUGCCUAAUACAUGCAAGUCGAACGCAGUGGGGACGGUUUAGUAACACGUGGGUAACCUCCCAUCAGAGGGGAUAACACUUGGAAACAGGUGCUAAACCGCUACUGAUGGAUGGACCCGCGGUGCAUUAGCUUGUUGGUGGGGUAACUGCUAACCAAGGCGACGAUGCAUAGCCGGCCUGAGAGGGUGAUCGGCCACACUGGGACUGAGACACGGCCCAGACUCUUACGGGAGGCAGCAGUAGGGAAUAUGCGGCAAUGGACGAAAGUCGGACCGAGCAACGCCGCGUGAGUGAAGAAGGUUUUCGGAUCGUAAAGCUCUGUUAUUGGAGAGGCGGUAUCUAACCAGGAAGCCACGGCUAACUACGUGCCAGCAGCCGCGGUAAUAC